GAAGUUUGUGUUCACGAAGGUGACUUUGAUGCCUUGCUUUACAAGCCAUUGCGUGAUUUCCAGCAUGGGAAUCACGUGGCCCUGUGCUGGAUGCUCUAUUGUACCUGGAAAAAGUGCAUUCUUGUGGUCAUCGCUUUGGUAUGAAAAUAACUACUCAGCGACGAAUUUACGAGACAGACAGGAAAUAUAAAGAAAGGCACGACGCAGGCACAGAGAAAAGACUGCUGUUUGUCUUUUUGCUGACACGAGAGGGGUUUUGGGGGCCACAAAAUCACUGUCUGGGAACAAACCUCGUACUUGUCAGAGCAAAAUUAAAAGAACUGAAAAGUAUUAUUCAGAAGCUUCUAAAGGCAUACUCAGAUACCCUUUUCUUCAAUAGGUCCAAUAAAAUACUCAGAUGCCCUUUUC